GUUGGUUGUCGCCUUCCGUAAGAAGGGGAGAGGGGACUUAGUAGUUUUUCUUUUCUUUGCUCUGGAAGGAGAGCUCUGCUUGGGAUCUAGGCAAGACUGGAAGGCAGACGAAGGACAAGGCAUGCUGUACCGACGAGCAGCCGCAGAAGUAGGCGGUGAGCCACGCCUCGAGAGGGCGAGAGUGGGAGCGACCCACUACGAUCUAGCGAAGCAGGUGAUGUUCCGCAUGCGCCCACUCCGACAACGCCUCCUCCAUUACCUGCCGUGCGUUAGCCGCUAGAGGAGAUGGACGUGGUUGUAUUCGUAGCGGCAGAGAGAGUCCCAACGACUUGGCGGGCGACACAGGGCAGAGAUGGAGGUGACCGGGCUCGCUAAGUACUGCCGCAGCAACUCGGUCCACUCAGUCGGCAAGUAGUAGCGCCGAGUGCCGGCGAGGUAUGAAAAGGUCCGCGUCCGGGGGAAGCAACCUCUAUCGACAGGCCGUAAGAUGAUAAUGGGGUACCUGAUAAAGGAGAUGUGUCGGAGACUGAGUCUCUUCAGAGGAACAGAGUACGCUGAGGGCGGAACGAAGCUACCACCCCUGUUCUUGGGCCUGCACCUAAACAUGAAGGUGGGCAUGGCAGAGGUCGUCGACGCUAGAUACACCGCACUACUGUAACCGGAGGAAACGGCACCGUUCCCCCUCAAGCACCACCGCGUCGAGUGUAAACCGCCGGUCGAGACGCACGAUGUGGUAUUUGGACCCCUCCUCGUCCCGCUGUACUUAACCUCGCAGCUUUUAUACGGGAAUGGACUGCCGCUACUGUAGGGUUUGGACGACGCACCAAGCACCGUUUGCCUGCGGCAGCAGGGGAUACCACUAACAAUGGACACGACCCGCCUAACGAUGGACCCGAACGAAAAACAGCCACAGUAACUGUUCGCCUGCUUCGGGGGCACGAUGCAGGGGAAUGGACUACCAGACCUAAGGUUAGCAGACACGUAACUGGGUCCCAUAGGACUGGGCCGGGCAGCACAGACACAGAGACUCAGGUCGUACUAAUUGGAGUAUACACAACCACUAGUACGACCGACGUCACACACACGGUCAAGAAUAAGACGAAAGUGAUAGUGUCAUACCUGAAACUGGUUGAAUUCCCUUUUCUUUACCUACUUUACAAAGUGGUACCUUCUGUCGUUCAAGAGCCGACGAGAACUAAAACUGUUCGCAGAAGGCGUACACGAUGGUCUCAAGGGAUGGUAGUCGAACCAAUUCGGACUACAACAAAUGAAGGCCAACUUACCACCAUUAUUUGAAAAGACCGACUAACUCUAACUGUACUUCUUCCUUCACGACCCCAGUUGGUCAGAGAUGUAGAAACUUCUUCUUCUUCUUCUCUUUACGAGGUAACUGUACCGGGUGACCUCUAGUAAAGGACCAAUGAGGAAACAAGGGUCGGGCAAGUGGGCUAUGAACCUGGUCGUACGGUAGUCUUCAGACCUUGAGUCGCUCUUCAAUGUCUUAUAUUCUGAACUCGUUCGAUUUCUUUUCUAUAAACAACUUCUCACUUCUCGAAUACGAUCCUUAACAAGCCGUCUAUCUUCUUUGGUCCUUAUGAAAAAUCAUAACCAGACAGAACAGAAUUAAAAAAUAAGACCCACGUAACCUUUUCGAAUGGAAAGCCCACAUGAAACCUGGUUAACUACAUAAAACAUAUUGUCCUAAAGGAGAAGUAUUGAUCAUUGGUCCAAAUGUAGGAAUUAGUUGUCUCCUUCAUCAAUGUUUUUCC
rnacentral:rRNA from 1 species